rnacentral:misc_RNA from 1 species
GUGAAUCAUCGAAUUUUUGAACGCAAAUUGCACUCUCUUCGGAGACUAUGCGUGUUUGUGGGUCAGGCUCAAAAAAAUCGACAUAGUGGCUGUUUCGCGGUGACAUUGGACGGAAAUUGGGUCAUGUUAAACUUUUGGUUUUUAAGGGGAUUAAAAUUUUUUUUUCGUUUCUAUGAACGGUUUUUAGAUGUACUUCUUAACCGUUUAA